AUCAAUUGAAAAAUAAAGCCAUGAUGAUAGAUUGCCUAAGUGACUUGAUGUUUAGAAUUGCUAAUGAUGUGGAAGGUCUAGGUAAAUAUGCUUCUAAGGUUAACACCCAACUAGAUCAAGUAGCUAAGUCACAAAAUGAUUUGCUUGCUAAAAUGAAUAAUAUUAAUGAUCAUGUUGUAAGAGUAAUGACUAGAAGAUGUAGAAUGACUCAUGAACCCCUUUUACCUGAAGGUCAUCCUAAAAUAAUAACACAUGAUUUUCACAUAAUUAAUGAUGAAACUCCUAGUCCCACUAAGAAGAAAAACAAAAAGAAAAC
rnacentral:lncRNA from 1 species